AUACGUAGGUGACAAGCGUUAUCCGGAUUUACUGGGCGUAAAGGGCGUGUAGGCGGUCUUGCAAGUCAGAAGUGAAAUUCCUGAGCUCAACUCGGGCGCUGCUUCUGAAACUGCAGGACUUGAGUGCUGGAGGGGAUAGCGGAAUUCCUAGUGGAGCGGUAAAAUGCGCAGAUAUUAGGAAGAACACCGGUGGCGAAGGCGGCUAUCUGGACAGUAACUGACGCUGAGGCGCGAAAGCGUGGGGAGCAAACAGGAUUAGAUACCCGGGUAGUCCACGCCGUAAACGAUGGAUACUAGGUGUGGGGGGUCUGACCCCCUCCGUGCCGCAGCUAACGCAAUAAGUAUCCCACCUGGGGAGUACGAUCGCAAGGUUGAAACUCAAAGGAAUUGACGGGG
rnacentral:rRNA from 1 species